rnacentral:rRNA from 1 species
UCCUACGGGAGGCAGCAGUGAGGAAUAUUGGUCAAUGGGCUUACGCCUGAACCAGCCAAGUCGCGUGAGGGAAGACUGCCCUAUGGGUUGUAAACCUCUUUUGUCAGGGAGCAACGCCGGCUACGUGUAGCCGGACUGAGAGUACCUGAAGAAAAAGCAUCGGCUAACUCCGUGCCAGCAGCCGCGGUAAUACGGAGGAUGCGAGCGUUAUCCGGAUUUAUUGGGUUUAAAGGGUGCGUAGGCGGAAUGCCAAGUCAGCGGUAAAAUCGCGGGGCUCAACCUCGCUCAGCCGUUGAAACUGGCGU